GCUGGGUGUGGUGGCGCACACCUGUAAUCCUAGUGGAGGCUAAGGCAGGAGGAUUGGUACAUACCUGUAAUCACAGCAAUCCAGGAGGCUAAGGCAGGAGGACUGGGAGUUCAAAGCCAGCCUCAG
rnacentral:sRNA from 1 species